UACGGAGGGUGCAAGCGUUAUCCGGAUUCACUGGGUUUAAAGGGUGCGUAGGUGGGCAAGUAAGUCAGUGGUGAAAUCUCCGGGCUUAACCCGGAAACUGCCAUUGAUACUAUUUGUCUUGAAUACCAUGGAGGUGAGCGGAAUAUGUCAUGUAGCGGUGAAAUGCUUAGAUAUGACAUAGAACACCAAUUGCGAAGGCAGCUCGCUACGCGGUUAUUGACACUGAGGCACGAAAGCGUGGGGAUCAAAC
rnacentral:rRNA from 1 species